UGGUUUCAAGGGUUUCAAUGGUUUCAAUGGUUUCAAAGGUUUCAAGGGUUUCAAGGGUUUCAAGGGUUUCAAGGGUUUCAAGGGUUUCAAUGGUUUCAAUGGUUUCAAUGGUUUCAAGGGUUUCAAUGGUUUCAAUGGUUUCAAUGGUUUCAAGGGUUUCAAGGGUUUCAAAGGUUUCAAUGGUUUCAAGGGUUUCAAAGGUUUCAAUGGUUUCAAAGGUUUCAAGGGUUUCAAGGGUUUCAAGGGUUUCAAAGGUUUCAAGGGUUUCAAGGGUUUCAAGGGUUUCAAAGGUUUCAAUGGUUUCAAGGGUUUCAAUGGUUUCAAG